ensembl:lncRNA
GCAGACCACAAAUCAAAGAAAAAAUUGCCUCUUAAAGAGAUGUACUUGGUGACAGCUCUUUUCAGUAUGAGAGUAUUACAGGUUAGGACUGAAAACCUUUAUCCUAGAAACAGAUGAUCCUGGCUUACCUCUAUAAUGGUUUUCCUUUCUCCUCCCAUUCCUUUCUCCAUUCCCAAUUAUUUUAGUUUUAAUUUAUUUUUUGUAUGUUUAGCUUAUUAUUUGUAUAUCUGUGUGUUUGUAUGUUGUAUUUAAUCACUCAUUUAAAGCAAGCAGUUCUUUUUGUUCAGCAUAUUGGUGUCUGUCUUCUAGAAUAAAUGCCAACACAAUCAUGUUCAACUUUACCUAAUCCCACGUACUCAGUAGUCAGAUUUAUCUGCUUAGUUUUGAAAAUGGAAAAACUAAAACAAUUUGAAAAUAAUUGACCAAUAAUAGAACCAAUAAGGAUGGUUAGCUUUCAGAUGAAUAGUAAAAAUCCCAGAUAAGUGUUUCUGAUCACCUCCCUCAGAAUCAGUUAAGAUAUUUAGUAAAUUCAGAGACUCCUUGAUCCCACUUGAGAUCUACCAAAUCAUAAUCUCUAAAUUCGGGGUCCAGGAAUCUGUCAUUUAAUAAGCACCCCAGAUGACUUUCAGCAAACUUGAGAAAUACUACCCUAGAUCAGGGACAGCAGCCUAAGAAAAGCAAUAUAGUAAAUAUUCUCAUUUUCUUUAGUGUGUUUGUAUUUGUUUAGCAUUGAGAUGUGGGGUUGAAUGGCCACAUAGCAGUCCUUUCUAUGGGAGCCUAUUGGAUGUGAUGAAAAACCCAGUUCUUUACUCUGCUACUAUUUUGAAAUGUUAAUAUAAGAGGAAGAGGUCUGAGAAUCACCUUAAUUAUUUUUAUCAAAUUAGCAGUAGAUUUUCAUUGACCAUGGUCAACAGCAAGAAUGAGAUACAGGCUAGAAGCAAGUGAAAGCAUUUUGCUUGAAACAUAGACCAGGGUUCAGUAACAGUUUGUGAAAAGCAUACUCUGUUUUCUUCUCAGUUUUGAGUAGUGCUGUCGUCUGUAAUUUUAGUACUCAAAAUAGUUCUGUGUGCAACUGUUGGCCUGCUGAGCACUGGUUCUAUAAUCAUCUUUGAAGCAGAAAUCUUUAUUAUUUCACCAAGUCUGGAGGCACUUAUAUAGAAGAAAAAUUAGUUGUUGAAAAGAAAAACUAAAAGACAAGAGCUGAAGAAAUUAUAUAAAAGUAGAAAUAGAAAGCCCAGUGGAGUCAGGAAAGAAAUAUCAGAAGGAAUCUGUGAGAGACACUGCUGUUCUUCAAAUUCACCCUCUAGUAAUGUAGCUUGGGAGAUUGCUAAACAAAGCCCUUCUAAGAAUUGAACUUGAGAUUCUAGUUAAUAAGUAUUUGCUGUCAGGAACAGUGAAGUAAUUCCCUUUAGCUAAAAAUCAAUUGAAUUGUGAAAAUGAUCAUUACUGAAAUAGUUACUGGUGCAACUGCAUGAUAUUUGACAGUGUUUCUCUGGCUUUUUUCAUCUCAUUGUUCUACCUAUUGUCAGAAAUUUUCCAUAUUUAAGAAGCCAGCAAUGAUAAUUAGGAAUAUUACACAUUUUAAUAAUUAAUAUGUUUAGACUCUCUUAAAAUUUGAACAUAAUAUUUAACCUGGAGAAAAUGAAACAGAGAUGAACUAAUGAAGUGUCAGAUAUGCUGCAAAUAUACUAAGAAUGUUCAGUUGUAGUAAUGAGACUUAUUCCAAGGAAAAAAAUAGGGGCAUGGAUAAAAAUAGGGGCACCAUUUUUUUUUAAUGGCUACACCUGCAGCAUAUGCUAGUUCGUGGGCCAGGGACUGAAUCCAAACUAUAGCUUACUCCUACAUUGUGGUUGCAGCAACACUGGAUCCUUACCCACUGUGCUGGGCCUGGGAUUGAACCUGUGCUGCCACAGAGACAACGCCAGAUCCUUAAGCCACUGUGCCACUGGAGGAGCUCCUUUUUUAUGGGGGGUAUAUUUAUUUAUUAUCUAUCUGAACAGGAAUGUUCAGGACAGCUUUUUUUUUUUUUUUUUGCCCUCUCCCACACAUAUGGAAAUUGCCGGGCUAGAGGUCUAAUUGGAGCUACAGCCACAGGCCUACACCACAGCCACAGCAACUUGGGUUUUUGAGGAAUCUCCGUACUGUUUUCCAUAGUGGUGCACCAGUGUACAUCCCCACCAACAGUAUAAGAGGGCUCCCUUUUCUCCAAACCGUCUCCAGCAUUUAUCGUUUGUAGACUUUUUGAUGAUGGCCAUUCUGGCUGGUGUAAGGUGGUACCUCAUAGUAAUUUUGAUUUGCAUUUCUCUAAUAAUUAGUGAUGUUGAACAUCUUUUCAUGUGUUUUUUGGCCAUCUGUAUGUCUUCUUUGGAGAACUGUCUAUUUAGAUCUUGUGCCCAUUUUUUGAUGGAGUUGUUUAGGUUUUUUUUUUUUUUUUGGAGGUGUUUAUAUAUUUUGGAGAUUAAUCCCUUGUCAGUCACUUCAUCUGCAAAUAUUUUCUCCCAUUCUCUGUGUUGUCUUUUGUUUUGAUAAGGGUUUCCUUUGCUAUGCAAAAACUUUGAAGUUUAAUUAGGUCCCAUUUAUUUAUUUUUGUUUUUAUUGUCAUUACUCUAAUAGGUGGAUUUCAGAAGGUAUUGCUGUGGUUUAUGUCGGAGAGUGUUCAGCCUGUGUUUUCCUCUGAUAGUUUUACGGUAUCUUGUAUUUAGGUCUUUAAUCCACCUUGAGUUUAUUUUUGUGUAUGGUAUUAGGAAAUGUUCUAAUUUCACUCUUUUACGUGUGGCUGCUCAGUUUUCCCAGAAUCAAUUAUUGAAGGGACUGUCUUUUCUCCAUUGUAUAUUCUCGUUUCCUCUUUCUCUUUCUUUCUUUCUUUCUUUCUUUCUUUCUUUCUUUCUUUCUUUCUUUCUUUCUUUCUUUCUUUCUCUCUCUCUCUCUCUCUCUCUCUCUCUCUCUCUUUCUUUCUAUCUUUCUUUUGUCUUUUUAGGGCCACACCCAUGGCAUAUGGAGGUUCCCAGGCUAGGGUUGAAUUGGAGCUAUAGCCAAUGGCCUACACCACAGCCGCAACAAUGCCAGAUCUGAGCCAUGUCUGUGACCUAUACCACAGCUCAGAGCAAUGCCGAAUCCUUAACCCACUGAACAAGGCCAGGGAUUGAAUCUGCAGCCUCAUGAAUACUAGUCAGAUAUAUUUCUGCUGAGCCAUAAUGUGAAAUCCUUACCUCCUUUUUCAUAGACUAGUUGACCAUAGGUGCAUGAGUUUAAUUCUGGGCUUUCUGUUUUGUUCCACUGAUCUAUAUUUCUGUUUUUGUGCUGGUACCAUACUGUUUUUCAUGAUUGUAGCUUUGUAGUAUAGUCUGAAGUCAAGGAACCUGAUUCCUCCAGCUCCAUUUUUCUUUUUCAGGAUUGCUUGAGCUGUUCUGCUUCUUUUGCACUUCCAAACAAAGUAAAAUAUUUUGUUCUAGUUCUGUGAAAAAUACCAUUGGUAAUUUGAUAGGGAUUGAAUUUAAUCUGUAGAUUGCCUUGGGUAGUGUAGUCAUUUUGACAAUAUUGAGUCUUCCAGUCCAAGAACAUGAUAUAUCUUUCCAUCCAUUUAUGUCAUCUUUGAUUUCUUUUGUCAGCAUCGUACAGUUUUCAGAGUACAGAUCUUUUAUCUUUUUAGGUAGAUUUAUUCCUAGGUGUUUUAUUUUAUUUUAUUUUAUUGAUGCAAUGGUAAAAUGGGAUUGUUUCCCUAAUUUCCCUUUCUGAUCUUUCAUUGAUAGUAUAUAGAAAUACAGUUGAUUUCUGUGUAUUAAUUUUGUCUCCUGCAAUUUUACCAAAUUCAUUGAUGAGAUAUAACAGUUUUCUGGUAGGGUCUUUAGGAUUUUCUAGGUAUAGUGUCAUGUCAUCUGUGAUCAGUGAUAGUUUUACUUCUUCCUUUUCAAUUUGGAUUUCUUUCAUUUCUUUUUCUUUCACUGAUUGCCAUGGCUAGGACUUCCAAAACUAUGUUGAGUAGUAGUGGUGAGAGCAGACAUCCUUGUCUUGUUCCUGUGGGGUGUUAAAAGUCCCCCACUGUUAUUGUGUUACUGUCCAUUUCUUCUUUUAAGCCUGUUAAUAGUUGCCUUAUACAUUGAGCUAUGUUGGGUGCAUAUAUAUUUGCAAUUGUUAUAUCUUCUUCUUGGAUUUAUCUUUUGAUCAUUAUGUAAUGUUCUUCCUUGUUUCUUAUAAUAUUCUUUCUUUUAAAGUCUAUUUUGUCUGAUAUGAGUAUUGCUACUCCACCUUUCUUUUGAUUUCCAUUUGCAUGGAAUGUUUUUUCCAUCCUCUCACUUUCAGUUUGUAUGUGCUUCUGGAACUGAAGUGGAUCUCUUGAAGAUAGCAAAUAUAUGGGUCUUGUUUUUUGGGUUUUUUUGUUUGUUUGUUUGUUUGUUUGUUUGUAUCCAUUCAGGAAGUCUGUGUCUUUUGGUUGGAGAAUUUAGUCCAUUUAUCUUUAAGGUAAUUAUUGAUAUGUAUAUUUUGUAUAUGUAUAUGUAUGCCAUUUUGUUAAUUGUUUUGGAUUUGUUUUUGUUGAUCUUUUUUCUUCCCUUCUUGCCUUGUUCUCUUCUCUUGUGGUUUGAUGACUAUCUUUAGUGUUGUGUUUAGAUUUCUUUUUCUUAUUUGUGUGUGUAUCUAUUGUAGAUUUUUGGUUUACAGUAACCAUGAAGUUUUGAUCUAGGAAUCUAUAUAUACAAAAUUGUUUUAAGUUGCUGGCCUCAUAAUUGCAAAUCCAUCUCCAGUAUCUUGCAUUUGUACUCCCCUCAUGAUUUCUGGGUUUGGUAACAUACUUGUGUGUGGAUGAUUUCCUACCUUUACUAUAUGUAUGCCUUUACUGGUGAGCUCUGUCAUUUAUAACAUUUUUGUUUCUAGUUGUGGCCUUCUCUUUUCCGUCUAGAGAAGUUCCCUCAUUAUUUGUUUUAAGGUGGUUUACUGGUGCUGAAUUCUCUUAGCUUUUGCUACUCCUUCAAAUCUGAUUGAAAGCCUUGCUGGGUAGAGUAAUCUUGGUUGGAGGUUUUUUCCCCUUUCAUCACUUUAAGUGUAUUGUGCCUCUCCCUUCUGGCUGCAGAGUUUCGGCUGAAAAAUCAGCUGAUAAUAUUAUAGGGGUUCCCUUGUAUGUUAUCUGUUUCUUUUCCCUAGGUGCUUUCAAUAUUUUCUCUUUGUCUUUAAUUUUGGUCAGUGUGAUUAAUAUGUGCCUCAGGGUAUUCUUCCUUGGGUUGAUUUUAUAUGGUAUUCGUUGUGCUUCCUGGAUUUGAGUGAGUGAUUCCUUCCCCAAGAUAGGAAAGUUUUCAGCCAUUAUCUCUUCAAAUAUUUACUCUGGCCCUUUCUCUCUCAUCUCCUUCUGGCACACCAGUAAUACAGAUGUUGAUCCAUUUAAAGUUGUCCCAGAGUUUUCUUAGACUGUCUUCAUUUCUUUUCAAUCUUUUUUCUCUUUUCUGUGCUGUGUCAGUGAUUUCCAUCAGUCCAUUUUCACUUAUUUGUUCUUCUGCCUCCUGUAUUCUACUAUUGGUUCCUUCUAGGGAAUUUUUUAUUUCAGUUAUUGGUUAAUCUUUGAAUUUUCUGUUUCUUUUUUCUUUCUUUUUUUUUUUUUUUUUUGNGGCUGACCUGUGGCGUAUGGAAGUUGGAAAUUCCCAAGCUAGGGGUCUGGGGCUUCUCAGCCCUGGUAGGUGGGACCAGGUUUUUCCAAAAUGGCCACCUCAAGGGGAGUUCAUGCUGAUGAUUAUUCCCAAGACCUUUGCCUCCAAUGUCCUUCCUCUGCAAUGAACUACGGUCACCCCCUGUUUUCCCAGGAGAAAGAACCAUAGGCAGGUGUGACCCAGAAUCCUAUGGCAUCUCUGCUUUGCCCUGAGACCCAGUGCACACAAAAAAGGCUAUGUGCACCUUUCAACAGCAGAGUCUGUGAUUCCCCCAGUCCUGUGGACCUCCUGCACACAGGCUUCACUGGCCCUCAACAACAAAUGCUCUGGGGAGCUCCUCCUCCCAAUGCCAGACCCCCAGGCAUGGGAACCUGACAUGGGGCUUAGAACUCUCACUCCCAUGGGUGAGCCUCUGUGAUAUAUAUAUUCACUUUCCAGUCCACAGGCCAUCCACCUGGCAUGUAUGGGGUAGCUUAUAUUGCAUAGUCUCCCCUCUUACUGUCUUGAUGUGGUAUCCUCUUUGUAUUUUGCUGUAGGAUAUCUUUUUUGGUAGUCUCCAGUCUAUUUUGUUGAUGGUUGUUCAGCAGUUGGUUGUAAUUUUAUUGUUUUCAUGAGAGAAGGUGAACUCCAGUCCUUCUACUCUGCUAUCUUAAUCCCGUCUCCCUGUUAGGGUUUUUUUAAAAGGUCUCAUUUGUCAGAAUAAAAAAGUGGCAACCCUCUCUGUAUUUUCUCCUACCACUUCCAAUUUUUCUUUGGAAUCUGAAACCAAAUUCAGUAAAUUCCUUAUAAGCCUCUUUGGGUUGACUUCUACUUUUCAACUUAUCAUAGGAAAAUAACAGCCAGUCUUUUCUGCCUUAAUUGGUCUUCAAGUUUACCAUUAUAGUAAAAGAGAAAACCAGAAAUCACUCUCACUUCUGGAUAUCUUAUUAAGAGAAACCAGAGCCAGAUAUUGGUUCAGUCAUAAACAGAUUUUUUUUCAACAACAAUUGCAAUAGAGGAAAUGAGUCUUUAGUAUAGAAUUGGGUUCAGUUCCAAAUACAGUAUGAUCAAGUGAGGAUUUAUAGCCAAGGAAGAGGGUGAUAACCAGUAGAUGGCAAAUUACUAACAGGAAACAUUAGGGGUAAGGAAGGAUUCUAGCUAGACCAACUUAAUAGGAUUCUUGUUGAAGGUAGGCCAAGAAAAUCAGAUAUCAAGGAUGUGGGAUUCUCUCUAAACUGACUUCACAGGAUUCUUGCUAAAACUGGAUGAUGCAAAAAAAAAAAAAAAAAAAAAAAAA